UUUUUUAUUUAACUACGAAAUAAAGCCUAAAAUAUGAAACUUGUGGUAACCGGGAUAACGUUGACUAAGCCCUCGAGCUAUAGAGCUAUUAACAACUUGACACUAUUGCUAUUGGUGCGGUGCACCAAUCGAAAACAAACCCAAACCAAUCUCAGAUUGCAUUCGGUGCCGAAGAAGGAGCGCGAUUGUGACUCGGCGAGGUUAACCGACAUUAACCCGGCUUUGAAUAAAGUGAGACCUUCCAUCCAUAUAUGUAUGCAUCUUCGCUUGUGUGCGGAUUUUGUAAACAAUCUUAAGCAAUUCAUGUGUCUACGGAAACUGGAGUUGGAACUACGGAACUGAAGAAGGUUGCUCCCUUAUAUAGCGGAAGAUCUUGAUCACCUGAAAUCUCUGGAUGUGUCUUAAUCUGAUGGAUUCGAUUCCAAGAGGUUGCUGGAUUGCUGCCAAACAACGUUGCCAGUUGCCCAGGCUGCGACACCGUCCCCUUGGAGGACUUUCUGAAGCUAAAGAACCUUCUACACCUCCACAUAUACUUGCCAAGCGUUGCGAAUGUCAUGAAUGGUCUUCCUCGACCAAAAAUUUUUCAAUAUACUAGAUUGCGAUGGCAUAGAUAAAGUGAA